rnacentral:rRNA from 1 species
GAUGAACGCUGGCGGCGUGCUAAUCCCUGCAAGUCGCGCGAACGGACGAGAAGCUUGCUUCUCUGAUGUUAGCGGCGGACGGGUGAGUAACACGUGGAUAACCUACCUAUAAGACUGGGAUAACUUCGGGAAACCGGAGCUAAUACCGGAUAAUAUUUUGAACCGCAUGGUUCAAAAGUGAAAGACGGUCUUGCUGUCACUUAUAGAUGGAUCCGCGCUGCAUUAGCUAGUUGGUAAGGUAACGGCUUACCAAGGCAACGAUGCAUAGCCGACCUGAGAGGGUGAUCGGCCACACUGGAACUGAGACACGGUCCAGACUCCUACGGGAGGCAGCAGUAGGGAAUCUUCCGCAAUGGGCGAAAGCCUGACGGAGCAACGCCGCGUGAGUGAUGAAGGUCUUCGGAUCGUAAAACUCUGUUAUUAGGGAAGAACAUAUGUGUAAGUAACUGUGCACAUCUUGACGGUACCUAAUCAGAAAGCCACGGCUAACUACGUG